UCUUAAUGGAGACUGACUUGGCCUUCUUUCUUGGAUACGUGGCGAUGACUAUCGUGGCUACUCGAUUUAGAUACGUCUUGUCGCUGAGGAAACUACUGCACCUAACCUAUCGGCUAUUCUACAGCAGUCUGUUCUUCAAGACAGUGUGUCUUCUACUCCUAAACAUCGAUUUAUCGAGGUUUGCCCGGACCGGACUUGAAAUGACUAAGAUGCAAGACGCUGCUGAGGUUUUCUCGUGGCUGUCUACGGUUUUCUUUGUGUGUGUUCUGCUGAUUGUGUCAAAGGGGUUCUCUAUUACCAG